CACAUCUCAGGGUCACACCUAGAGAGUUUCCAGUACUCUACCAGUCUCGACUAUGGGAGGGGGAGUCAAGCAGAGGCCUAUCCAUUCCAUUCCUAGCUUGGUCAGUGGCUAGCGAGUAGAAAGCAAUCUGCUACAAGU
rfam:Ornithorhynchus anatinus chromosome 6, whole genome shotgun sequence.